rnacentral:rRNA from 1 species
UACGAAGGGGGCGAGCGUUGUUCGGAUUUACUGGGCGUAAAGGGCGCGCAGGCGGCCGGCCAUGUCGAGUGUGAAAGCCCCGGGCUUAACCUGGGAACGGCGCUCGAAACGGGUUGGCUGGAGAUCGGGAGAGGAGCGUGGAAUUCCCAGUGUAGAGGUGAAAUUCGUAGAUAUUGGGAAGAACACCGGUGGCGAAGGCGGCGCUCUGGACCGAUACUGACGCUGAGGCGCGAAAGCGUGGGGAGCAAACAGG